rnacentral:rRNA from 1 species
GACGAACCGUGCGAACGUUGUUCGGAUUCACUGGGCUUAAAGGGCGCGUAGGCGGCAGGUCAAGUCCGGGGUGAAAUCCUUCAGCUCAACUGGAGAAGUGCCUUGGAUACUGGUCUGCUCGAGGGAGGUAGGGGCAUGUGGAACUUCCGGUGGAGCGGUGAAAUGCGUAGAUAUCGGAAGGAACGCCGGUGGCGAAAGCGACGUGCUGGACCUCUUCUGACGCUGAGGCGCGAAAGCUAGGGGAGCAAACGGG